rnacentral:rRNA from 1 species
AUUAAUAGUUAAGUUCUUUAAAUUUAAAAGAAUUGGCGGUAUUUAAAACUAAUUAGGGGAACUUGUUUUUUAAAUGAUACUCCGCAUGAGACCUUACUUUAAUUAAUUUAGUUUAUUUACUGCCGUUAACAGAUUAUUUUUUAAAAAAUUAAAUUUUCUAAAUUAUUUAAAAGUAGUUAUUUCAGGUCAUGGUGUAAUUUAUAUUAAAGUAAAAAUGAGUUACAAUAAAAUUUAUUUAUUUAUGAAUAUUUAAUUGAAAUAUUAAAUUGAAAGUGGACUUAAUAGUAAAUUAAAAUAUUAUAUUUAUUUGAAUUUAGAAUUAAAU